CUCGCGGAGCCUCGAGCCUGAAGCCCUGGACAGGCAUGUUCUAGGAUUCCUGAGCCCAGCAUUUUCGGCAUUUUCGCAGAGCCGAGUGAAUUCACACCAAGCGUGAGGUCUAAUCGGGCCACAGAAAAUUCGCUCUCAAGGGCCAUUUCUUCUACCUUAACGGACUCAUCGAUAACUCAAACGCGUCGGUUUUGGUGCCGGGAUAUGCGUGACUGUGGAGCAAUUCCACAAGCUUCCAAGCACACUGCAGGGCUUUUAUUAUUAUUGUGGUGGUGGUGGUGGUUGUUUAAAGUGUACAGCUGUGAGCACACAGAGCCGCUCUGGUUUUGUGUCUGGUUUUGCUGCUUCCGCGAGCGGGCGCCACCUUCGCGGUGGUCUUGAGCCCGGAGUCUGUGCCUCGGAGGCCCCCGCUCAGCAGGGUCGCCAUCUAGUGACAACAAGGAUGUACUACCACGUUCUAACUUCGGCAGGCUAAUGCUCCAAGUGUGGAACGUUCUGGUCAGUAACUCACAAGCCCCAGUGCACUGCAUUGUAGCAGAUUCCGGGAGUGGCGCUCCCAGCAAGGGAGGAUCUUUGUUUUGACAUGCCGGGAGCAAGCAGACGGUGACUCAGGGAGCUGUUUUCCUGUCCUGUUACGGCUUCCAAGUCUCCUUGGAUGAGCUUGGACGCGUCCAGGUGGAAUAUUUUCUCACCCCCGUUGCAGCCUUACCUUUACCUGCUCACCUGACUGAA